rnacentral:rRNA from 1 species
UACCAGCACCCCGAGUGGUCGGGACGAUUAUUGGGCCUAAAGCAUCCGUAGCCGGUUCUUUAAGUCCUCCGUUAAAUCCACCUGCUUAACAGAUGGGCUGCGGAGGAUACUAUAGAGCUAGGAGGCGGGAGAGGCAAGCGGUACUCAGUGGGUAGGGGUAAAAUCCGUUGAUCCAUUGAAGACCACCAGUGGCGAAGGCGGCUUGCCAGAAUGCGCUCGACGGUGAGGGAUGAAAGCUGGGGGAGCAAACCGG